rnacentral:rRNA from 1 species
UACGUAGGGGGCGAGCGUUUGUCCGGAUUUAUUGGGCGUAAAGAGCGUGUAGGCGGUUCGGUAAGUCUGUCGUGAAAUCCUGGGGCUCAACCCCGGGCGUGCGAUGGAUACUGCCGGGCUAGAGGAUGGUAGAGGCGAGUGGAAUUCCCGGUGUAGCGGUGAAAUGCGCAGAUAUCAGGAAGAACACCCGUGGCGAAGGCGGUUCUCUGGGACGGUACUGACGCUGAGACGCGAAAGCGUGGGGAGCGAACAGG